rfam:Cricetulus griseus cell line CHO-K1, whole genome shotgun sequence.
GGAGAGGUGGCUCAGUGGUUAAGAGCACUGGCUGCUUUUCUAGGAGACCUGGGUUCAAGCCCCAGCACCUACA